CCCUUAGACGUUCUGGGCCGCACGCGCGCUACACUGACGAAGGCAACGAGCUUUCCUUUACCGAAAGGUACGGGUAAUCUUUUGAAGCUUCGUCGUGCUGGGGAUAGAUCCUUGCAAUUAUUGAUCUUAAACGAGGAAUUCCUAGUAAGCGCAAGUCAUCAACUUGCGUUGAUUACGUCCCUGCCCUUUGUACACACCGCCCGUCGCUACUACCGAUUGAAUGGUUUAGUGAGGCCUUCGGAUCCGCGACUCGUUUUGUGGAGAAGUUGGACAAACUCAGUCAUUUAGAGGAAGUAAAAGUCGUAACA
rnacentral:rRNA from 1 species